CUCUCCUAGACAGAUGUGUUCGGUCAUCUCCUCUAAGCAAUACUUAAUGUCUCUAUAGACAAAAAAGGGUUCUACUAAAACGAACACUGCAAAGCUGGCAUGAUGAGGUCCUUCUUGAACGUUAUGCCACAUGGAUGCCCUUCACAACAGCCCCUGGGGGAUGUGUUCGGAGCCCUUCAUCUCAUCAAACCCUGCUGCUGUCUUCAAAACAAGAGACGCACAAAGGAAAACACUCAACUUUAAGGAAACAUUGCAAAUGUUUGAUGGCGUGGAUUAGCUGAAGUGUUACAAAAGAAGCAGUAAACCAAUGACAAAUAUAUUUAUUUUAUUUUAUUAAA